GACGAACGCUGGCGGCGUGCUUAACACAUGCAAGUCGAACGGAAAGGCCCUUCGGGGUACUCGAGUGGCGAACGGGUGAGUAACACGUGGGUGAUCUGCCCUGCACUUUGGGAUAAGCCUGGGAAACUGGGUCUAAUACCGAAUAGGACCACGCGCUUCAUGGUGUGUGGUGGAAAGCUUUUGCGGUGUGGGAUGGGCCCGCGGCCUAUCAGCUUGUUGGUGGGGUAAUGGCCUACCAAGGCGACGACGGGUAGCCGGCCUGAGAGGGUGACCGGCCACACUGGGACUGAGAUACGGCCCAGACUCCUACGGGAGGCAGCAGUGGGGAAUAUUGCACAAUGGGCGCAAGCCUGAUGCAGCGACGCCGCGUGAGGGAUGACGGCCUUCGGGUUGUAAACCUCCUUCACCAGGGACGAAGCGUAAGUGACGGUACCUGGAGAAGAAGCACCGGCCAACUACGUG
rnacentral:rRNA from 1 species